UAAGGAAUAUUGGUCAAUGGACGCAAGUCUGAACCAGCCAUGCCGCGUGAAGGAUGAAGGUCCUCUGGAUUGUAAACUUCUUUUAUCUGGGACGAAAACGGGAUUUUUAUCUCAAUUGACGGUACCAGAGGAAUAAGUACCGGCUAACCCCGUGCCAGCAGCCGCGGUAAUACGGAGGGUGCGAGCGUUAUCCGGAUUUACUGGGUUUAAAGGGUGCGUAGGUGGCUUAUAAGUCAGUGGUGAAAUCUCCGAGCUUAACUUGGAAGAAGCCGCUGAUACUAUAGGUCAUGAAUUAUCUGGAGGUGAGCUGAAUAUGUCAUGUAUCGGAGAAAUGCUUAGAUAAGACAUAGAACACCAACUGCGAAGGCAGCUUACUACAUAUAAAUUGACGCUGAGGCACGAAAG
rnacentral:rRNA from 1 species